rnacentral:rRNA from 1 species
CCAGCAGCCGCGGUAAUUCCAGCUCCAAUAGCGUAUAUUUAAGUUGCUGCAGUUAAAAAGCUCGUAGUUGGAUUUCGGGUGGGCACUGCCGGUCCGCCGUUUCGGUGUGCACUUGCAGGUCCCACCUUGUUGCCGGGGACGUGUUCCUGGGCUUUGCUGUCCGGGACACGGAGUCGGCGAGGUUACUUUGAGUAAAUUAGAGUGUUCAAAGCAGGCCUACGCUCUGAAUACAUUAGCAUGGAAUAACACGAUAGGACUCUGGCCUAUCUUGUUGGUCUGUAGGACCGGAGUAAUGAUUAAGAGGGACAGUCGGGGGCAUUCGUAUUUCAUUGUCAGAGGUGAAAUUCUUGGAUUUAUGAAAGACGAACUACUGCGAAAGCAUUUGCCAAGGAUGUUUUCAUUAAUCAAGAACGAAAGU